rnacentral:rRNA from 1 species
CAGCCGCCGCGGUAAUACGUAGGGUCCGAGCGUUGUCCGGAAUUAUUGGGCGUAAAGGGCUCGUAGGCGGUUUGUUGCGUCGGGAGUGAAAACCCAGGGCUUAACUUUGGGCUUGCUUUCGAUACGGGCAGACUUGAGGCAUUGAGGGGAGAACGGAAUUCCUGGUGUAGCGGUGAAAUGCGUAGAUAUUCGGAAGAACACCAGUGGCGAAGGCGGCUCACUGGCUUAUACUGGACGCUGAGGUGCGAAAGCGUGGGGAGCAAACAGGAUUAGAUACCCCCGUAGUCCCUGUCUCUUAUAC